rnacentral:rRNA from 1 species
UACGUAGGCAGCGAGCGUUGUUCGGAGUUACUGGGCGUAAAGCGUGCGUAGGCGGUGUCUUAAGUUUGUUGUGAAAUCUCCCGGCUUAACCGGGAGGGUGCGGCGAAUACUGAGAUGCUGGAGUGCCGGAGAGGUAAGCGGAAUUCCUGGUGUAGCGGUGAAAUGCGUAGAUAUCAGGAGGAACACCUGCGGUGUAGACGGCUUCUGGACGGUAACUGACGCUGAGGCACGAAAGCGUGGGUAGCAAACAGG